rnacentral:rRNA from 1 species
UGCGUAGGCGGAUUAAUAAGUCAGUGGUGAAAUCUUUCGGCUCAACCGAGAAACUGCCAUUGAUACUGUUAAUCUUGAGUUCGGUUGAGGUAGGCGGAAUGUGUAAUGUAGCGGUGAAAUGCUUAGAUAUUACACAGAACACCAAUUGCGUAGGCAGCUUACUAGACCGACACUGACGCUGAGGCACGAAAGCGUGGGGAGCGAACAGGAUUUAGAUACCCUGGUAGUCC